GUGGCGAGUGGCGGACGGGUGAGUAAUACAUCGGAACGUACCCAGUCGAGGGGGAUAACCUAGCGAAAGUUAGGCUAAUACCGCGUAAGCUCGAGAGAGGAAAGCAGGGGAUCGAAAGACCUUGCGCGAUUGGAGCGGCCGAUGACCGAUUAGCUAGUUGGUGGGGUAAAGGCCUACCAAGGCGACGAUCGGUAGCUGGUCUGAGAGGAUGAUCAGCCACACUGGGAAUGAGAGACGGCCCAGACUCCUACGGGAGGCAGCAGUGGGGAAUUUUGGACAAUGGGCGGAAGCCUGAUCCAGCAAUACCGCGUGGGUGAAGAAGGCCUUAGGGUUGUAAAGCCCUUUCAGCGGGGAAGAAAAGGUAUGUAAAAACAUUGCAUAUUGAUGACGGUACCCGCAGAAGAAGCACCGGCAAACUACGUGCCAGCAGCCGCGGUAACACGUAGGGUGCGAGCGUUAAUCGGAAUUAUUGGGCGUAAAGAGUGCGCAGGCGGAUAGGUAAGUCAGGUGUGAAAUUCCCGGGCUCAACUUGGGGACAGCACAUGAAACUACGUAUCUAGAGUGAGGCAGAGGGAGGUGGAAUUCCACGUGUAGCAGUGAAAUGCGUAGAGAUGUGGAGGAACAUCGAUGGCGAAGGCAGCCUCCUGGGCCAUCACUGACGCUCAUGUACGAAAGCGUGGGUAGCAAACAGGAUUAGAUACCCUGGUAGUCCACGCCCUAAACGAUGUCGACUAGUUGUUGGGGAAGUAGUUUCUCAGUAACGCAGCUAACGCGAGAAGUCGACCGCCUGGGGAGUACGAUCGCAAGAUUAAAACUCAAAGGAAUUGACGGGGACCCGCACAAGCGGUGGAUGAUGUGGAUUAAUUCGAUGCAACGCGAAGAACCUUACCUACCCUG
rnacentral:rRNA from 1 species